rnacentral:rRNA from 1 species
UCGGGAAUUUUGGGCAAUGGGCGAAAGCCUGACCCAGCAACGCCGCGUGAGGGAUGAAGUAUUUCGGUAUGUAAACCUCGAAAGAAUGGGAAGAAUAAAUGACGGUACCAUUUAUAAGCUCCGGCUAACUACGUGCCAGCAGCCGCGGUAAUACGUAGGGAGCAAGCGUUGUUCGGAUUUACUGGGCGUAAAGGGCGCGUAGGCGGCGCGGUAAGUCACUUGUGAAAUCUCUGAGCUUAACUCAGAACGGCCAAGUGAUACUGCUGUGCUAGGGUGCGGAAGAGGCAACCGGAAUUCUUGGUGUAGCGGUGAAAUGCGUAGAUAACAAGAGGAACACCUGAGGCGAAGGCGGGUUGCUGGGCCGACACUGACGCUGAUGCGCGACAGCCAGGGGAGCAAACG